rnacentral:rRNA from 1 species
GUGAGGAAUAUUGGUCAAUGGGCGGGAGCCUGAACCAGCCAAGUCGCGUGAAGGAAGAAGGAUCUAUGGUUCGUAAACUUCUUUUGCAGGGGAAUAAAGUGCAGGACGUGUCCUGUUUUGUAUGUACCCUGGGAAUAAGGAUCGGCUAACUCCGUGCCAGCAGCCGCGGUAAUACGGAGGAUCCGAGCGUUAUCCGGAUUUAUUGGGUUUAAAGGGUGCGUAGGUGGUUUGAUAAGUCAGCGGUGAAAGUUUGCAGCUUAACUGUAAAAAUGCCGUUGAAACUGUCGGACUUGAGUGUAAAUGAGGUAGGCGGAAUGCGUGGUGUAGCGGUGAAAUGCAUAGAUAUCACGCAGAACUCCGAUUGCGAAGGCAGCUUACUAAGCUACAACUGACACUGAAGCACGAAAGCGUGGGGAUCAAACAGGAUUAGAAACCCGUGUAGUCC